rnacentral:rRNA from 1 species
AGCAGCCGCGGUAAUUCCAGCUCCAAUAGCGUAUAUUAAAGUUGUUGCAGUUAAAAAGCUCGUAGUUGAACUUCGGGGUCUACCCAUCGGUCAGGCUUAAUUGUCUGUACUGGUGAGAUGGAUCUCUACCUUCUGAGGAACUUACAUGCCAUUUAUUUGGUGUGAUUGGAAAUCAGGACUGUUACUUUGAAAAAAUUAGAGUGUUUAAAGCAGACUAUCGUCUGAAUACAUUAGCAUGGAAUAAUGAAAUAGGACGGACUGAUUCUAUUUCGUUGGUUUCUAGGAUCACCGUAAUGAUUAAUAGGGAUAGUUGGGGGCAUUAGUAUUCAAUUGUCAGAGGUGAAAUUCUUGGAUUUAUUGAAGACUAACUACUGCGAAAGCAUUUGCCAAGGAUGUUUUCAUUAAUCAAGAACGAAAGUUAGGGGAUCGAAGACGAUCAGAUACCGUCGUAGUCUUAACCAUAAACUAUGCCGACUAGGGAUCGGACGAAGUUAAUUUUAUAAUGACGCGUUCGGCACCUUACG